CCUACGGGAGGCGGCAGUGGGGAAUAUUGGACAAUGGGGGCAACCCUGAUCCAGCCAUGCCGCGUGUGUGAAGAAGGCCCUCGGGUUGUAAAGCACUUUCAGUGAGGAAGAACGCCUGGUGGUUAAUACCCAUCAGGAAAGACAUCACUCACAGAAGAAGCACCGGCUAACUCCGUGCCAGCAGCCGCGGUAAUACGGAGGGUGCGAGCGUUAAUCGGAAUUACUGGGCGUAAAGCGCGCGUAGGUGGCUUGAUAAGCCGGUUGUGAAAGCCCCGGGCUCAACCUGGGAACGGCAUCCGGAACUGUCAAGCUAGAGUGCAGGAGAGGAAGGUAGAAUUCCCGGUGUAGCGGUGAAAUGCGUAGAGAUCGGGAGGAAUACCAGUGGCGAAGGCGGCCUUCUGGACUGACACUGACACUGAGGUGCGAAAGCGUGGGUAGCAAACAGGAUUAGAUACCCGUGUAGUC
rnacentral:rRNA from 1 species